rnacentral:rRNA from 1 species
AUGGACCAUUCCAUCCCUUUUUCCCGUGCAUAUGCAUCAGACUCGGAUGACGAUGGUCCCGAUAAACAAGUUGAUGCGGAGGGGUUCACGGUGAAGGAGGCCGAAGCUUUCGAGAAGGUAUUUGGUCGGGAUCAUCGGACUACAUUGUUCAAGGAUGUUAGUCUCGCGGAUGAAGCCGUGGUAGAUGGUGGCCAAUGUGUACCUCUUGGGGUUAGGCUCUCCAACUCAAUAUCCACACUUCCAACAAUGAGCGUCCAACAUGUCAUUGACCUUGUGAAAGCCAUCUUUCAUUAA